rnacentral:lncRNA from 1 species
AUGCAUGGGGUGUGUGCGUUCCGUUGGGCAAAAGCCUCCUGCAGCAGACACAUUCCACCACCUCCCACUUCCCCAGUUCUGCAGGCCCUUCUUGUCGUCCUAGUCGAGGCUGUUCCUCUGAAGGUGAGGGGGCAGCGGGGAAGACUCCCGCCCCCUCGCAGGUCCCCACCGCCCUGGGGGCCAGGCCAGCACGGAAAGGCUACCGCUUUGAAGAGAGCCGCAGGGCAAGCUGAGCGCACGCACGCACGCAGGCAGGCAGGGCGGAGCCGCGCGCGCUUGGAUUGGCCGAAGUCUCGCCUUUCGUCGCCGCCUCGCUCUUCCCCGUCUCUCCCGCGUCUCCGCCUGUCACUCUUGUCCGAACAGGAGAAGCUCUCCAGGCGACGAGGCGAACCCUUGCGCGGCAGCCCACUCUGCGCCGCCGCCGCCGCCGCCACCAUGCACCUCUGCAGCUUUGCGUGGCGCCCUCUGGCCCGCCGCCUCACGCAAGGGGCUGCCCCCUUCGUCCGCGGACACGCACCUUUCCGCCAGAUGUCAUCUGGAAGCGUUCCUGGAUCUUCUGGGGAGAACUUUAUUUAUUAUCUGCUCGUUGCUGGUGCUGCUGCAGCAGGAGGUUUUUUAGCCUACAGAACGGUUACUUCUGACAAAUCCAGGUACAACGAACGUAUCAGUGAUAUGCAGCAAAGAACUGUAGCAGAAUGGAAACCAAAACCGUGGCCUCCUCAGUCCUUAGAAAACGAUGAAACAGAAGCAAACGAAACUACUGAUGCAAGUGAAGAAGUAAAGGAUGCAGUUGAAGGAGAGACUGCAGCAGUAACUACUGGUGAAUCCGAAGUGCAAAAUGAAAAGCACACUGAAUCAGCAGAAGCACAGAGAGAAGACGAAUCGCCUGCUGAAGAGGUAUCCUCUGGUGUGCAAGAAGAGCAAGAUGCUCCUUCCAGCUCAGAGGCAGCCCAAAUGCAAGGUUAACAUUGCAAAUGGAAAUCUGUAGGCAUUUUACCUUGUAUCACAGGAAGCACUGCUUUGCUCAUGUUAACAUAGUAUUUCACACGGAAUAAACUUGUAUUUUAAAACCUUAAUUAAAGUUUAAUAUAAAUGAGAUGUGAUUUCAGCUGCAGUUUCCAACUUUAAUUCAUACAACUUAUUUUAGGUAGUUUGUUGCAAAAUAUUUCUGGAAGAAGGAGCCCUAAUUUGCCAUUUGUGGUGCAAGGCUCCUGGUUUUGUCCAGAAGAAAUAGCUGAACAUGCCUAGAGAGUGUGUGUUAUAAAUAGAAUUGAGUGCAGUUCAGUGUGCUCUUUCCCUCCUAAAUGCACAAGCUGUAAGAUGCGUAGAGAGGCAUUUUGGCCCAUUAGAAAUAUAUUUACUAUUACAAAAUCUUGUAUGGUUUUCUCCUGCUGCCAAAUCCAUUUCCUUUCUGAAUAUUUUUUUUUAAAAAAACCAACAACAUUAUUAUUAUUUUUGGUGUAUUUCCAAAACCAUCCAUUAUUUGGAGGGUUGUAUUCAAUGCUUCUCUCACUCAGAGUAGAUACUUUGAAACGAAUGAACCCAAGUUAAACAUGUCCAUUAACAUCAAUGUUUCUACUCUGAGUUGAGUCAAGCAGAGAAUACCACCUAUAAUUUUGAGUGCUUUUCAGCCUUCGUUAUGCAAAGAAUGAGAAUGUGAUUUCUGAUUAGCCCUAAAAACAAUGACCAAAUAAGACCAUUCCAAAAUAAUUUUGAUGGCUGCAAUCCAGGAAGUGAGUAACAUGAACGCAUUCUAGGCUCUGUUUCAUUGCUGGCCAUGGAAAUAUAUUUACUUGCAACUCUUUGUCUUAUGUAGUGGACAGUGGAACCUGACACUGUUCAGCAUUCUCUUAAUCACAGAUAAUGCCUUCAGUAUUAAACUGGUAAAAACUAGAUGAAUAAAACAUAGGCCUUUAUUAGGAACGGCUCUAUAGUACCAGCACACCCCUUAGUCAUCUGAUUUGUAUCCAUCAUUAAGUAAUUUGUAACGUGAGUUCAGUUUUGUCAUUGCUGGUGAUGCUGCAGUUAAAAAGACCUGAUCUUAAAUAAUUUAUAAAAGCAAGCCUUAUUUGGACAAGUCACUCUUGCCAGAGAGAAGGGGGUGGGGAGGUGAUUUUUGCAAAUACCCAAAGCACUCUGUACCUUCCCAAAAUCUGUUUUGGUGGUUUUUAGGGGUCCUCUGGAGGGGUAUGGAAAUUGGCUUGGGAGACCGCAGAAAGAAUUGGAAUGGGUGGAGCUUAGAGAAGAAGGAUUGAAAUCCCCACUUGGCUAUGAAGCACACUGGGUGACCUUGGGCCAGCCUCUCAGCCUAACCUGCUUCACAGGGUUGUUGUUGGGGGGAUUAAAUGGGGAGGGGGAGAACCAUGUAUGCCACCUAGAGCGCCUUGGAGAAAAGGGUGGGAUAUAAAUGCGGUAGAAAUUCCCAACCAAACUUCCAAGUCUGUUUGGGACUUUUUACAUUCUUGCAAUACAACUGUCCCAUUUUAUGUAAAUAACUGCAUUAUAUUUAUCUAGCUAGCUUAGUUUUGUUUAUCAAUAACUAGCUGGAUGUCAAGUUUUCCACAGCCAUGAAGCUUGAAAUGCUGUGAACGGGGCAAGCCAACUGAACUCCAGACCUUAUAGAUGGAAAUAAUUGUCUGCUACUGUAUUGCGGCUUUCCCCUGGCUUCACGAGAAUGCUGAUUUGGCUUCCCAGAAAUAGCUUUGUGUGCAUAAUGUGCACACACUGCUAUUUCCGAUGCUGAAGAGAAUGGGAUAAAAACACUGAUAUAAUGAGAUGCAAUACAAUUAAAUAUAAGCAAUACAAGUGAAAAACCACAAGCAGAGUUGGAGAAAUUCCAGUUUUAAUGUGUAAAAGUACUCAAGUUGGCACAAUAAACUUAAGUUAAUUUUGUUUUUUAACAUAGGUGAUUUCCAUUACUGUGUCUCCAA